GCAGAGUCUUAGGGGGUUAUCUAAUGUAGUCUUGGGGUGGCUGGAUAGACUUCCCAAAGAAGGUGAUGCCGAAGCUGAGGUCGGAAAUUACGAAGAUCAGCUAUAUCUUUAAUAAAUGAAAUAAAUGUGACUGUAUGUCCUACAUCCCAUUCCUGUUGUCUUCCAUGUCUCCUCAGAGGAAGGCCUGAGGAGAGAAGACACAUAGUCAUGCUGACUAAACCAGAUCACCUAGAAUUACCAAAUGGAAAGAUAAGAAAAAUCACCCACAAAUUUGUAAUAAUAUUUACUCACUUUUCAAAGGUUUCUCCAACUUUUUGAGUCAGGACUAAUCAUCUUUAAAUUAAUUUCUUUAAAAAAAGAAGUAGAAAGAGAUGAUGAAAGAAAAGAGACUAGUUUUUUAUUUGAAGGCACAGUGAUUAUUGCCAGUUGUCAAGGAAACUUUCCUCCUCCUGACCAGUCAAUCAGUAUCACUUAAGCUUUUGUUCUAACAAAAACGGGUUUCCCUCUAUCAAGUACACACCUGAUAUAUGCUUUUUCUUAAUGUAAAUAUUAAUAGAUGGCCAAUUGUUUCCAUCAUUCAGAGGCCUCCUCUGUUUAAACAUUCUCUGCUGAAUUUGUUUAUUCCACUGUAAAAACCAUGGCAACCACAAGGAAAAAUGUUUUCCUGUUUUUCAGAGUGUUGGACUAUUAGAACACUAGGGAUCACUAGAAAUAAAAAAUACAACUUAGAACAAAGUCUUAACUCCAUGUCAGGAAGAUGGAGUAUGACCAAGCAGCUGUGUAGCAAGUUCCAGGGACCACAGCAGAAUAGGCUCUGUUGGCCGGGUGCGGUGGCUCACGCCUGUAAUCCCAGCACUUUGGGAGGCCAAGGCGGGCGAAUUAUGAAGUCAGGAGAUCGAGACCAUCCUGGCUAACAGGGUGAAACCCCACCUCUACUAAAAAUACAAAAAAAUUAGCCGGGCGUGGUGGCGGGCGCCUGUAACAAUCCCAGCUACUUGGGAGGCUGAGGCAGGAGAAUGGCUUGAAGCCGGGAGGCGGAGCUUUCAGUGAGCCGAGCUCGCACCACUGCACUCCAGCCUGGGCAACAGAGCGAGAGCGAGACUCCAUCUCAAAAAAAAAAAAAAAAAAAAAAAAAAAAAA
ensembl:lncRNA CCDC26 CCDC26 long non-coding RNA